rnacentral:rRNA from 1 species
UGGGGGAUAUUGCACAAUGGGCGAAAGCCUGAUGCAGCGACGCCGCGUGGGGUAUGAAGGCCUUCGGGUUGUAAACUUCUUUUGCUCUGAACAAGGCGCACCAUGGGGUGUGUUGAGUGUAGGGGUUGAUUAGCGCCGGCUAACUACGUGCCAGCAGCCGCGGUAAUACGUAGGGCGCGAGCGUUGUCCGGAAUUAUUGGGCGUAAAGGGCUUGUAGGUGGCUGGUUGCGUCUGUCGUGAAAGCUCAUGGCUUAACUGUGGGUUUGCGGUGGGUACGGGCUGGCUUGAGUGCAGUAGGGGAGGCUGGAAUUCCUGGUGUAGCGGUGGAAUGCGCAGAUAUCAGGAGGAAGACCGGUGGCGAAGGCGGGUCUCUGGGGUGUUACCGACACUGAGGAGCGAAAGCAUGGGGAGCGAACAGG